rnacentral:rRNA from 1 species
UGGGGAAUAUUGGACAAUGGGCGAAAGCCUGAUCCAUCAAUACCGAGUGAGUGAUGAAGGCCCUAGGGUUGUAAAGCUCUUUUAGCAAGGAAGAUAAUGACGUUACUUGCAGAAAAAGCCCCGGCUAACUCCGUGCCAGCAGCCGCGGUAAGACGGAGGGGGCUAGCGUUGUUCGGAAUUACUGGGCGUAAAGAGUGCGUAGGCGGUUUAGUAAGUUGGAAGUGAAAGCCCGGGGCUUAACCUCGGAAUUGCUUUCAAAACUACUAAUCUAGAGUGUAGUAGGGGAUGAUGGAAUUCCUAGUGUAGAGGUGAAAUUCUUAGAUAUUAGGAGGAACACCGGUGGCGAAGGCGGUCAUCUGGGCUACAACUGACGCUGAUGCACGAAAGCGUGGGGAGCAAACA